rnacentral:piRNA from 1 species
UAAAUGACCCUAUGCUUUUGCAUCCGAAU